rnacentral:rRNA from 1 species
GUGGGGAAUAUUCCGCAAUGGACGAAAGUCUGACGGAGCAACGCCGCGUGAGUGAUGAAGGUUUUCGGACUGUAAAGCUCUGUUGUUUAGGAUGAAAGUGCCUGUUGCAAAUAGUUACAGGUAUUGACGGUACUGAACGAGGAAGCCACGGCUAACUACGUGCCAGCAGCCGCGGUAAUACGUAGGUGGCAAGCGUUGUCCGGAAUUAUUGGGCGUAAAGAGCAUGUAGGCGGGAAUCUAAGUCUGUUGUGAAAAUGCGGGGCUCAACCCCGUAUUGCGAUGGAAACUGGGUUUCUUGAGUGCAGGAGAGGAAAGGGGAAUUCCCAGUGUAGCGGUGAAAUGCGUAGAUAUUGGGAGGAACACCAGUGGCGAAGGCGCCUUUCUGGACUGUGUCUGACGCUGAGAUGCGAAAGCCAGGGUAGCGAACGGGAUUAGAUACCCGGGUAGUCC